rnacentral:rRNA from 1 species
GGUCUCAGUUCGGACUGUAGGCUGCAACUCGCCUACACGAAGUUGGAAUUGCUAGUAAUCGUGGAUCAGCAUGCCACGGUGAAUACGUUCCCGGGUCUUGUACACACCGCCCGUCACACCAUGGGAGCUGGUAACACCCGAAGUCAGUAGUCUAACCGCAAGGAGGACGCUGCCGAAGGUGGGAUUAGCGACUGGGGUGAAGUCGUAACAAGGUAGC